rnacentral:rRNA from 1 species
AGAGUUUGAUCAUGGCUCAGGACGAACGCUGGCGGCGUGCUUAACACAUGCAAGUCGAGCGGUAAGGCCCUUCGGGGUACACGAGCGGCGAACGGGUGAGUAACACGUGGGUGACCUGCCCCCUACUCUGGGAUAAGCCUGGGAAACUGGGUCUAAUACCGGAUAUGACUACAUGUCGCAUGGUGUGUGGUGGAAAGUUUUUCGGUGGGGGAUGGGCCCGCGGCCUAUCAGCUUGUUGGUGGGGUGAUGGCCUACCAAGGCGACGACGGGUAGCCGGCCUGAGAGGGCGACCGGCCACACUGGGACUGAGACACGGCCCAGACUCCUACGGGAGGCAGCAGUGGGGAAUAUUGCGCAAUGGGCGGAAGCCUGACGCAGCGACGCCGCGUGGGGGAUGACGGCCUUCGGGUUGUAAACCUCUUUCGGCCCCGACGAAGCGUGAGUGACGGUAGGGGUAGAAGAAGCACCGGCCAACUACGUGCCAGCAGCCGCGGUAAUACGUAGGGUGCGAGCGUUGUCCGGAAUUAUUGGGCGUAAAGAGCUCGUAGGCGGUCUGUCGCGUCGGUCGUGAAAACUUGGGGCUUAACCCUGAGCUUGCGGUCGAUACGGGCAUGACUGGAGUUCGGCAGGGGAGACUGGAAUUCCUGGUGUAGCGGUGAAAUGCGCAGAUAUCAGGAGGAACACCGGUGGCGAAGGCGGGUCUCUGGGCCGAUACUGACGCUGAGGAGCGAAAGCGUGGGGAGCGAACAGGAUUAGAUACCCUAGUAGUCC